GUCUUUUUGAUUAUAAUUUAAAGUCUUACCUGCCCAAUGAUUUUUUAAUGGCCGCGGUAUUUUGACCGUGCAAAGGUAGCAUAAUCAUUUGUCCUUUAAUUGGGGACUUGUAUGAAGGGUUUGACGAGAAAUUUUCUGUCUCUUUUUAAUUAAUUGAAUUUUAUUUUUGAGUGAAAAAGCUUAAAUUUUUUUAAUAGACGAGAAGACCCUAUAGAGUUUAAUUUGAAUUUAAAUUAUUUAAUUUAAUUAGAAUUUUGUUGGGGUGAUUGAAAAAUUUACUAAACUUUUUUUUGGUUUAAAUAUAGAUAAAUAGAUUUUUGAUCCAGCUUUGUUGAUUAUAAGAUUAAAUUACCUUAGGGAUAACAGCGUUAUUUUUCUUGAUAGUUCUUAUUGAAAGAAAAGUUUGCGACCUCGAUGUUGGAUUAAAAAUAACAGCUGGUGCAGAAGCUAGCUAGUUAGGUCUGUUCGACCUCUAAGAUUUU
rnacentral:rRNA from 1 species